rnacentral:antisense_RNA from 1 species
CUUCACCGAGCCCAGCAGCAACGGCCGCGAGCGGUCCUGGCCGUAGGUCGCGAUGACCGCCUGUGCCUC